AACGCACCUUGCGCUCCUUGGUAUUCCGAGGAGCAUGCCUGUUUGAGUGUCAUUAAAUUCUCAAUCUCUACAGCUUUUGUUGUUUAGUAGAUUGGAUGUGGAGGUCCUUUGUGUGGGAUGAAAAUCCCUCACUCCUCUUAAAUGUAUUAGCUGGAAUGCCUCUGCAUAUCUGACUAUCAGUGUGAUAAUUAUCUAUACUGUAGUUGUUGCAUGAGGGUAUCUGCUUCAUUAACCGUCGCAAGACAACUCUAAUGACCAUCUUGACCUCAAAUCAGGUAGGACUACCCGCUGAACUUAA
rnacentral:misc_RNA from 1 species